AUGCAGCGCACGACCCAAGUGCGCGUGAACAAGAAGAUCCAAAGCAAGCAGAGUCACGUCGCCUUAACAACACAAUGGCCGAGCCUCCAGAAAAAGUCCCCGAGCCACAUCCGAGCGACAUAAAAGCCGCGAUCGGGCAAUUCGAACUCACGAGUUCCCAUGAGGGGCACCCUGCUGAGAAUGCCGGA